CCCUAAUCAUAAUUUUUCCCUUUUCCCCAGCCUCAGAACGCAGCCCCACCCCACCUUUCUUCCAAAACACCAACACCCAAACAAAAGAAAGAAACAAAGAAAUGGAAAGGGAGAAUAGAGAGCUUGGAAUCAGAGAAGAGGGAGCUGCACUCUGCGCCGUCCAGCUCGCCGCCGCAGCACCUCGCCUGCGCCGUUAUUCAUGCCCAUCACCGUGCAGCCAUUGCUAACUCGCCUUGCCAUCACCGCCGCUGAAGCAAGGUCACAUCGCCGUCAGAUUUGAAGCCGUUGAGGAGCUGAACGCUCGCGAGAGAGAGGACAAACACGAGGAGAGCUUGUGCGCGAAGGGUAGCGCCGCUGUGUCUCUGUCGCGCCUUCAUCACUGUCGAAGCUGCACUUUCGCGUCACCAUCGUUGUGCCUCCACCGAGCCUGUCACACUGCUGCUGUUGCGAUGUCAUUACUGUCGCGAGGGAGAAGAGAUGCGUGAGGAAGGAAGCUCGCAGGGGAGAAAGAAGAGGCUGCCUGUGCCACCCGCUCUGUCGUGUCUGAUCUCUGUUAUCACCGCGUCGCCGCCACCGAAGGUCCGCCGCCAUUGUUUCCAUCGCCUCCAUGCUUCAUGUUCAUCCUGCCAAUCAUUACUGUCUUUGUUCGGUAUUGCUGUCCUUAUCCGGAACCACCGAUGUCAUUGUUGUUGCUUCCCCAGAAGAACUGAGGUUACUGAUACUGUUCCGGCCGAACUAGCUAUUGUAAACUGGAAAAAGAAGGGGAUCGCCACAUUUAAAUUCGACGGUUUCGACUAAUUGAGUGACACAGGUUUGAAGACGCAAUUUGAAGCUGCGAGCGAUUAGUAGGCUUUCUUUAUGGUUUUAAUUGCUUUCAUAGAGUCCCCUUGCCAUUAUCCCUUGAUAUUUUAUUUUAACAGAGGGAUAGGUAUUGUACUUGGGUUUAUAUGACUUCUUAUGUAUAAGAAUUACUAUUAAUAAUACUUAUGUGAUUGUUAUUAUUAUUUGCAA